rnacentral:rRNA from 2 species
AGCGCAGGUGGGCUGUCAAGUCUGUCUUAAAAGUGCGGGGCUUAACCCCGUGAUGGGAUAGAAACUGGCAGUCUUGAGUGCAGGAGAGGAAAGCGGAAUUCCUAGUGUAGCGGUGAAAUGCGUAGAUAUUAGGAGGAACACCAGUGGCGAAGGCGGCUUUCUGGACUGUAACUGACACUGAGGCUCGAAAGCCAGGGGAGCGAACG